GGGUUGUGAGGUUAAGCGACUAAGCGUACACGGUGGAUGCCCUGGCAGUCAGAGGCGAUGAAGGACGUGCUAAUCUGCGAAAAGCGCCGGCGAGGUGAUAUGAACCUUUGACCCGGCGAUGUCCGAAUGGGGAAACCCAGUGUGUUCCGACACACUAUCGUUAACUGAAUACAUAGGUUAACGAGGCGAACCGGGGGAACUGAAACAUCUAAGUACCCCGAGGAAAAGAAAUCAACCGAGAUUCCCCCAGUAGCGGCGAGCGAACGGGGAGCAGCCCGGAGUCUGAAUCAGCUUGUGUGUUAGUGGAACGGUCUGGAAAGUCCGACGGUACAGGGUGAUAGUCCCGUACACGAAAAUGCACAUGCUGUGAACUCGAAGAGUAGGGCGGGACACGUGGUAUCCUGUCUGAAUAUGGGGGGACCAUCCUCCAAGGCUAAAUACUCCUGACUGACCGAUAGUGAACCAGUACCGUGAGGGAAAGGCGAAAAGAACCCCGGCGAGGGGAGUGAAAAAGAACCUGAAACCGUGUACGUACAAGCAGUGGGAGCACCUUCGGGUGUGACUGCGUACCUUUUGUAUAAUGGGUCAGCGACUUAUAUUCUGUAGCAAGGUUAACCGUAUAGGGGAGCCGAAGGGAAACCGAGUCUUAACUGGGCGUUAAGUUGCAGGGUAUAGACCCGAAACCCGGUGAUCUAGCCAUGGGCAGGUUGAAGGUUGGGUAACACUAACUGGAGGACCGAACCGACUAAUGUUGAAAAAUUAGCGGAUGACCUGUGGCUGGGGGUGAAAGGCCAAUCAAACCGGGAGAUAGCUGGUUCUCCCCGAAAGCUAUUUAGGUAGCGCCUCGUGAACUCAUCUUCGGGGGUAGAGCACUGUUUCGGCUAGGGGGCCAUCCCGGCUUACCAACCCGAUGCAAACUACGAAUACCGAAGAAUGUUAUCACGGGAGACACACGGCGGGUGCUAACGUCCGUCGUGAAGAGGGAAACAACCCAGACCGCCAGCUAAGGUCCCAAAGUCAUGGUUAAGUGGGAAACGAUGUGGGAAGGCACAGACAGCCAGGAUGUUGGCUUAGAAGCAGCCAUCAUUUAAAGAAAGCGUAAUAGCUCACUGGUCGAGUCGGCCUGCGCGGAAGAUGUAACGGGGCUAAACCAUGCACCGAAGCUGCGGCAGCGACGCUUAUGCGUUGUUGGGUAGGGGAGCGUUCUGUAAGCCGUUGAAGGUGUGCUGUGAGGCAUGCUGGAGGUAUCAGAAGUGCGAAUGCUGACAUAAGUAACGAUAAAGCGGGUGAAAAGCCCGCUCGCCGGAAGACCAAGGGUUCCUGUCCAACGUUAAUCGGGGCAGGGUGAGUCGACCCCUAAGGCGAGGCCGAAAGGCGUAGUCGAUGGGAAACAGGUUAAUAUUCCUGUACUUGGUGUUACUGCGAAGGGGGGACGGAGAAGGCUAUGUCAGCCGGGCGACGGUUGUCCCGGUUUAAGCAUGUAGGCGGAGGUUCCAGGUAAAUCCGGUACCUUAUUAACGCUGAGGUGUGAUGACGAGGCACUACGGUGCUGAAGUGAUAAAUGCCCUGCUUCCAGGAAAAGCCUCUAAGCAUCAGGUAACACGAAAUCGUACCCCAAACCGACACAGGUGGUCAGGUAGAGAAUACCAAGGCGCUUGAGAGAACUCGGGUGAAGGAACUAGGCAAAAUGGUGCCGUAACUUCGGGAGAAGGCACGCUGAUAUGUAGGUGAAGCCCCUGCGGGCGGAGCUGAAAUCAGUCGAAGAUACCAGCUGGCUGCAACUGUUUAUUAAAAACACAGCACUGUGCAAACACGAAAGUGGACGUAUACGGUGUGACGCCUGCCCGGUGCCGGAAGGUUAAUUGAUGGGGUUAGCGGCAACGCGAAGCUCUUGAUCGAAGCCCCGGUAAACGGCGGCCGUAACUAUAACGGUCCUAAGGUAGCGAAAUUCCUUGUCGGGUAAGUUCCGACCUGCACGAAUGGCGUAAUGAUGGCCAGGCUGUCUCCACCCGAGACUCAGUGAAAUUGAACUCGCUGUGAAGAUGCAGUGUACCCGCGGCAAGACGGAAAGACCCCGUGAACCUUUACUAUAGCUUGACACUGAACACUGGUCCUUGAUGUGUAGGAUAGGUGGGAGGCUUUGAAGCGUGGACGCCAGUCUGCGUGGAGCCGCCCUUGAAAUACCACCCUUUAAUGGCUGGUGUUCUAACGUAGACCCGUGAUCCGGGUUGCGGACAGUGUCUGGUGGGUAGUUUGACUGGGGCGGUCUCCUCCCAAAGAGUAACGGAGGAGCACGAAGGUUGGCUAAUCCUGGUCGGACAUCAGGAGGUUAGUGCAAUGGCAUAAGCCAGCUUGACUGCGAGCGUGACGGCGCGAGCAGGUGCGAAAGCAGGUCAUAGUGAUCCGGUGGUUCUGAAUGGAAGGGCCAUCGCUCAACGGAUAAAAGGUACUCCGGGGAUAACAGGCUGAUACCGCCCAAGAGUUCAUAUCGACGGCGGUGUUUGGCACCUCGAUGUCGGCUCAUCACAUCCUGGGGCUGAAGUAGGUCCCAAGGGUAUGGCUGUUCGCCAUUUAAAGUGGUACGCGAGCUGGGUUUAGAACGUCGUGAGACAGUUCGGUCCCUAUCUGCCGUGGGCGCUGGAGAAUUGAGGGGGGCUGCUCCUAGUACGAGAGGACCGGAGUGGACGCAUCACUGGUGUUCGGGUUGUCAUGCGAAUGGCACUGCCCGGUAGCUAAAUGCGGAAGAGAUAAGUGCUGAAAGCAUCUAAGCACGAAACUUGCCCCGAGAUGAGUUCUCCCUGAGACUUUAAGUCUCCUGAAGGAACGUUGAAGACGACGACGUUGAUAGGUCGGGUGUGUAAGCGCAGCGAUGCGUUGAGCUAACCGAUACUAAUGAACCGUGAGGCUUAACCUUACAACGCCGAAGCUGUU
rnacentral:rRNA from 1 species